rnacentral:rRNA from 1 species
GAAGUYGGAAUCGAUAGUAAUCGUGAAUCAGAAUGUCACGGUGAAUACGUUCCCGGGCCUUGUACACACCGCCCGUCACACCAUGGGAGUGGGUUGCUCCAGAAGUAGCUAGUCUAACCUUCGGGGGGACGGUUACCACGGAGUGAUUCAUGACUGGGGUGAAG